rnacentral:lncRNA from 10 species
ACUCAACCUAGAAACAACACGGUGAAGAGCCACUUCCACUUGCUCCAGGCCACAGAGUUCUCUCUCCCGUGACAGUUUCCUUCCUGUGCAAUAGUAUCGCCUCUGGAACUUCCUCACCUGCCACCUGGUGCUGCUACAUGUCCACGAUGACCAAAGUCAUUAAAACUUCGUAAAAAGCCUGCUUUAGUGAAGAGCUUCUGGCGACGGCCUUUGAAUCUGUGCCCCUGAGGGCUCCAGGGCAGGACUCCAACUGGUGGUGUAAGACUUGCUGUCCUGAUGUGGGUGGCAGUUGCUAGAAGAGGGACUGUUUCAUUUCAUUAGCAGUGAAGUGUGCUGUCAGCCGGCAGUGAUAGCCAUGGGACAAGAUGCAACCCAAUCUGACUCUGAAACAUCCUGUCCUAGCCACCGCUGAGCUCUUCCCCCUUAGGGGGUCGCCAGAAGAGUAUUGAUUGGACAAGGAGAGAGAGCCCUCUUGAAGAGGAAUGGUGCUAAAGUCAACCUGAAGCCUUCUGAAAAUUCAGCGGCCCUAGAACUGCCCCAAAUGCUAUUUACUGCAAAGCAGAAUUCUGUAUCCAGAGGGGUUGUCCUGGACUCCACUCAAGAGGUUUAGCUUUUAAAGAGCCUAAAGGAUUCCUGGCUUAUCUGUUGGUUGGGCUCACAUAUUUUCCCACCGAUAGACAAGAGAUUACCAGAAAAGGGGUGAGGAAUCCAGAGAGAAUGUCUGCAUAAGAAGGAGGGUGGAGAUUUCUUACUGAACUAAAGGCUUCAAGAAUUGGCAAAUACCUGCUCAUCGGAUCUCACUCUGUUACCCAGGCUGGGGUGAAGUGGCACAAUCAUAGUUCACUGCAGCCUUGACCUCCUGGGCUCAAGUGAUCCUCCCGCCUCAGUCUCCCAAAGUGCUGGAAUUACAGGUGUGAGCCACUGCUCCUUGUGAUCUUACUCUUUCUACCAAUAAAAAUUCCAGAUUGUAUUAGUCUGUUCUCACACUGCUAUAAAGAACUACUUGAGAUUGGGUAACUUAUAAAGAAAAUAGGUUUAAUUGACUCAUAGUUCUGCAGGCUCAACAGGAAGUAUGAC